rnacentral:rRNA from 1 species
UGGGGAAUCUUAGACAAUGGGCGAAAGCCUGAUCUAGCCAUGCCGCGUGGAUGAUGAAGGCCCUAGGGUUGUAAAGUCCUUUCGUCGGGGAAGAUAAUGACGGUACCCGAAGAAGAAGCCUCGGCUAACUCCGUGCCAGCAGCCGCGGUAAGACGGAGGAGGCUAGCGUUGUUCGGAAUCACUGGGCGUAAAGCGCACGUAGGCGGUGUUGUAAGUUAGGGGUGAAAGCCCGGGGCUCAACCUCGGAAAUGCCUUUAAGACUGCAACGCUAGAGUUCGGAAGAGGGUAGUGGAAUUCCCAGUGUAGAGGUGAAAUUCGUAGAUAUUGGGAAGAACACCGGUGGCGAAGGCGGCUACCUGGUCCGAUACUGACGCUGAGGUGCGAAAGCGUGGGGAGCAAACAGG